rnacentral:rRNA from 1 species
CCUACGGGUGGCAGCAGUGGGGAAUAUUGGACAAUGGGCGAAAGCCUGAUCCAGCCAUGCCGCGUGUGUGAAGAAGGCCUUCGGGUUGUAAAGCACUUUCAGUGGGGAAGAAAGCCUUGGGGCUAAUACCCUCGAGGAAGGACAUCACCCACAGAAGAAGCACCGGCUAACUCCGUGCCAGCAGCCGCGGUAAUACGGAGGGUGCGAGCGUUAAUCGGAAUUACUGGGCGUAAAGCGCGCGUAGGCGGUCUGAUAAGCCGGUUGUGAAAGCCCCGGGCUCAACCUGGGAACGGCAUCCGGAACUGUCAGGCUAGAGUGCAGGAGAGGAAGGUAGAAGUCCCGGUGUAGCGGUGAAAUGCGUAGAGAUCGGGAGGAAUACCAGUGGCGAAGGCGGCCUUCUGGACUGACACUGACGCUGAGGUGCGAAAGCGUGGGUAGCAAACAGGAUUAGAUACCCUUGUAGUC